GAUGAACGCUGGCGGCGUGCCUAAUACAUGCAAGUCGAGCGAACGGACGAUAAGCUUGCGUCUCUGAUGUUAGCGGCGGACGGGUGAGUAACACGUGGAUAACCUACCUAUAAGACUGGGAUAACUUCGGGAAACCGGAGCUAAUACCGGCUAAUAUUUUGAACCGCAUGGUUCAAAAGUGAAAGACGGUCUUGCUGUCACUUAUAGAUGGAUCCGCGCUGCAUUAGCUAGUUGGUAAGGUAACGGCUUACCAAGGCAACGAUGCAUAGCCGACCUGAGAGGGUGAUCGGCCACACUGGAACUGAGACACGGUCCAGACUCCUACGGGAGGCAGCAGUAGGGAAUCUUCCGCAAUGGGCGAAAGCCUGACGGAGCAACGCCGCGUGAGUGAUGAAGGUCUUCGGAUCGUAAAACUCUGUUAUUAGGGAAGAACAUAUGUGUAAGUAACUGUGCACAUCUUGACGGUACCUAAUCAGAAAGCCACGGCUAACUACGUG
rnacentral:rRNA from 1 species